UGGGAAGGUUAUAAGAGCAUAUGGUGGAUGCCUAGGGUUCUCGAGGCGAUGAAGGACGUGGCGUGCCUGCGAUAAGCGUCGGGGAGGUGGCGAGCAACCUUUGAUCCGGCGAUUUCCGAAUGGGGAAACCCCGCCGUAGAAAACUACGGUGAGCCGCGCAUAGCGCGGCGGCGAUACCCGCUGAAGUAAAACAUUUCAGUAAGCGGAGGAAAAGAAAACAAUGCCAAUGCUAAGCAUUGGAAAGCUUCAAGUUCCAAAAAAUAAAUUUCCAAGCGUUUGGAAAUUGGAAAUUGGAAAUUGGAAAUUCCGAUGCUGUGCAUCGGCCCAUUCCCUUAGUAGCGGCGAGCGAAGAGGGAAGAGCCCAAAAUUUAGUUACCAGUAACUAUUUACUAGUUUGUUGGUAGUUAAAUGGUUGUAGGGUAAUAACGUAAGGAGUAAUCCUUGAAGAGCUACAAGUUGCAAUUUGUCUAGUAGAACGGUCCUGGAAAGGCCGGCCAAAGAGGGUGAUAGCCCCGUAAACGAAAGCCAUUGCACGCUCUUUGUUAUUAUUCCUGAGUACUGCCCCGUAUGGAGACUGGGCAGGAAACAGGCGGAACUAGUCCGCCAAGGCUAAAUACUCCGAGAACACCGAUAGUGAACAAGUACCGUGAGGGAAAGGUGAAAAGUAGCCCGGUAAGGGCGGUGAAAUAGUACCUGAAACCAUAUGCUUACAAGGAGCAGGAGCUCGUGCCUCACUACUGUUCAGCACGAAAUUAUCAAUUUUCAAUUUUGCAAUUUUCAAUGAUUUAAUUUUUAAACCGUCAUUGAAAAUUGAGAAUUGAUAAUUGAAAAUUACGAAGUGCCGAGCGAUAGCGAGGUACGAGUGACUGCGUGCCUAUUGAAGAAUGAGCCAACGAGUUAUUGGAUAUUACUCGUCUAAAUGCCGUGAGGCAUGAAGGCAUAGCGAAAGCGAGUGUUAAUAGCGCGUAUUAGUUUAUGGUUUGUAGUUGGUAGUUUGUAGUUUUUUACUACUCACUACUAUCUACUCACUAUAAACUAAAGGUAGUAUUCAAAAGACCCGAAGCCAGGUGAGCUUGCCAUGGGCAGGGUGAAUGUCGGGUAACACCGACAGGAGGCCCGAACCGGUGGGUCGUUCAACGCCUUCGGAUGACCUGUGGUAAGGAGUGAAAAGCUAACCGAACCUGGUAAUAGCUGGUUCUCUUCGAAAUAGCUUUCGGGCUAGCCCUCGCGUAAUUUUUCUCGGGGUAGAGAUACUGAAUGGACUAUAAGGGAGCAAUCUCGGUAGUCCAACCAAACUCCGAAUACGGGAAAAAAUCGCGAGGAGUCAGCAGGUGGGGGCUAAGCUCCAUCGUGCAAGAGGGAAACAGCCCAGAUCGUCAACUAAGGUCCCUAAAUCAUAGCUAAGUGUAAAAGGCGGUGGAAUUUCUCAAACAGCGAGGAGGUUGGCUUAGAAGCAGCCAUCCUUUAAAGAGUGCGUAACAGCUCACUCGUCUAGAGAUUUUGCGCCGAAGAUUCAACGGGGCUAAGCUAUGUACCGAAGUUACGAAUGCGCGGGCUUCAUUGAGGAAAUUUGUUCUUUUUCUUUGAGAAAUUUUUGUGGGGUCGUAGCUCAAUUUGGUAGAGCGUCCCGACUCGAGUUGGGGAGGUUAGUGGUUCGAUUCCACUCGGCUCCACAAAAUUUUCUCUUUGUUAUCUUCGGCGAAACAUUUUGUUUCGCCUCCUCAAUGAAGCCCGUGCGUAGUAGAAGAGCAUUCCAAUUGCUGUGAAGGUCGACCCGCGAGGGCGACUGGAGCGUUUGGAAGAGAGAAUGUUGGCACAAGUAACCACAAUCCCGGUGAGAUGCCGGGACGCCGAAAACCCAAGGGUUCCUCAGCAAUGACAAUCAACUGAGGGUUAGUCGGUCCUAAGCGAAUGCCGAAAGGCGCACGCGAUGGACACACGGUUAAUAUUCCGUGACUUCUUUUCUUUUUCGAUGGGGCGACGAGAUCUAGUAUAUCGGGCGUAUUAUUGGAUUUAACGUUUGCGACAUGAGAUUCGCCGGCAGGAAAAUCCGCCGGCAGGGGUUAUGCCCGGUUUCAAGUGCCGUGAAAAUCCCUUACAGCAAUGUUUGGGAAAUCCGAUAAAGCAGGUCUCCAAGAAAAACCUCUAGAGCCAAAGGAAAAGAAACCGUACCGUAAACCGACACAGGUGGGUUGGUAGAGAAUACCAAGGCGAACGGGUGAUUCCUCGUUAAGGAACUCGGCAAAAAAGCGGCCGUAAGUUCG
rfam:Candidatus Sungbacteria bacterium RIFCSPHIGHO2_02_FTLL_47_11 rifcsphigho2_02_scaffold_15676, whole genome shotgun sequence.